rnacentral:rRNA from 1 species
GACGAACGCUGGCGGCGUGCCUAAUACAUGCAAGUCGAACGCAGUGGGGACGGGUGAGUAACACGUGGGUAACCUCCCAUCAGAGGGGAUAACACUUGGAAACAGGUGCUAAACCGAUACUGAUGGAUGGACUCGCGGUGCAUUAGCUAGUUGGUGAGGUAACGGCUCAACAAGGCCACGAUGCAUAGCCGACGUGGGAGGGAGGACGGGCACAAUGGGAAUGGGGAACGGCCCAGACUCCUACGGGGAGCAGCAGUAGGGAAUCUUCGGCAAUGGACGAAAGUCUGACCGAGCAACGCCGCGUGAGUGGUGGCGGCCUUCGGGUUGUAAAGCUAUGUUAAUCGGGACGCGGUACCGGAAUAGAAAGCCACGGCUAACUACGUGCCAGCAGCCGCGGUAAUUC